rnacentral:rRNA from 1 species
CGGCGAACGGGUGAGUAACGCGUGGAUACCUACCCUGAGGUGGGGGAUAACCCGAGGAAACUCGGGCUAAUACCGCAUGAUACCGCGAGGUCAAAGAGGGCUUCGGCUCUCGCCAUGGGAUGAGUCUGCGUCCGAUUAGCUAGUUGGUGAGGUAAUGGCUCACAGAGGCGACGACCGGUAGCCGGCCUGAGAGGGUGAUCGGCCACACUGGAACUGAGACACGGUCCAG